UGUGUCUUUUUUUUUUUUUUUUUUUGCGGUACGCGGGCCUCUCACUGUUGUGGCUUCUCCCGUUGCGGAGCACAGGCUCCGGACACGCGCAGGCUCAGCGGCCAUGGCUCAAGGGUCCAGCCGCUCCGCGGCAUGUGGGAUCUUCCCGGGCCGGGGCACGAACCCGUGUCCCCUGCAUUGGUAGGCAGACUCUCAACCACUGCGCCACCAGGGAAGCCCUGUUUUUUGUUUUUUAACAUGCUGAGAAAGGCAACAACCCUGGGAGAAGAUGAGGCUGGACCGGGAUCAGAAGUGUUCUGAUUCAGAAGUAGCUGCUCCUUGCAUCUUAUUACAUCACCGUCGCCUGUUUUAGGAGCAGAGUAGAGGGACAGAGGACAAAUACACGAUGGCAGUUAUGGCUUCACCCUCGCCCCUGCCUGGGGAGUCAGAAGAAGGGGGUCAGAUGGGGCUUGUGAUAUGACAGUGCCCCUGCUCUCUGCUUCCUCCUGACACUGGUUGUGCAGGUCGCUAGGGUACCACUGUUCCCGCUCAGCUUUGGGCAGGUUACUUCUCUCCUCGUCCAACCAUAUCUACUCCAAGAUGGCUGUGAGGAUUAGAUGAAAUAACAUAGGUAAAGCAUCUGGUAUAUUCCACCCGCCUCUCUCUCUCUUCUAGAAAUCUCUUCACCCAUCCUGUACUUGGCACAAAUGUUUCCUCUCAAACAAAACCUAAAGAAUUGGCUGGUGUGACUAUGCCGGGGAGGGUUAAUUUUAUGUGUCAACCUGACUGGGCCAAGUGAUGCUGGGAGAGCUUGUAAACAUUAUUUUCGGGGAGCGUCUCUGAGGGUGUUUCUGUAAGAGAUUGGCAUCUGAAGUGGGAGAAUGAGUAGAGCAGAUAACUCCCAUCAAGGCAGGUGGGCAUGAUCCGAUCCACUAGGGUCCUGAAUAGAACAAAAAAGGCAGAGGGAAGGUGAAUUUGCUCUCGUUUCGAGCUGGGACAUCCAUCCUUUCCUGCCCCCUGGACAUUGGCGCUUUUGAUCCUCAGGCCUUUGGACCAGCUCUCCUGGGUCUUCAGCUUGCAGACAGCAAAUCAUGGGACUUCUUGGCCUCCAUAAUCAUGUGAGGAAACCCAGAUCCAGAGAGCUGAAAUCCCUUGAAUAAGGUCACAGGGCCAGGAGGUGGCAGGGCUGGGAUUUGAACCUGGCCAUCCGGCUCCAGUCACAGAUGGGUGCUGGAAGCUGAGCCAACACUGGGCCACCAGGCAAGUUGCAGACAGCUGUGGUGGGGUGUGAAGAGGAGGCAUGUUCUGCUUUUAUCGGCCAGACAGACAGCCCACGUGUGAACUGGAGGCGGUGGUGGGCUUCAUCUCUGACCUGGGCACAACUGACCUCAGCAAAGGUCUGGUACCAAGGUAGGUAGCGUGCCUUGAAUAUGCACAGACUAUGGAACAGGUUUUGUUUUUCCUGCCAGCAGAUGCUUUUUUGCACCGUUGAAUUGCUCUGGUGGAAGAGAGCUUUACAAGCAGGAGCACAUGGAA